UUUGCUGAUGAAGUCUUGAUGCAGAAGUGGGCAGUCUUGCUUUAAGACAUGUGAUCUGACUCUCUCUCAGCUCUCUCUCACUCUCUCUCUCUCUCUCUCUCUCUCUCUUUCUCUCUUUCCAGCUGGGCUACAUUGUAAUAGCCUACACACACACACACGCACGCUCACUCACACACUCUCCCUCUGCCUCUCUGACACAGACUCUCUACUUAGUGCGUUGGAGAGAGGACUGAGGCUCACACUAUCAGCGCAGCUUCUCAAUGGGGGGACGCAGCCAAGAGCAGACAGAGCAGUCAUUCCACUGGAGCCUUCCGCUGCAUGCGUGAGAAGGAGACGACAAGUGAGGGGGGUAAAUUAGCUCCCUGUCAUCACAACAGAGGAGUUCUACUGACGGAGAGGAGUGAAGGGAGGAGAGGACAAGAAAUCUGAUCGUAUACGUGGCUGAUACAGCAGUGACAUGAUCAGCCUCCCAUCCCUCAAAUCCUGGCCAGUUUGUGACUUAGAGCCCUGGGUGUCUUGCUUUUGGUGACUGACUGUGUUGCCACGGACUUCAAAAGAGAACCACGAAACGCUCCAGAUUAGAGAAUAUUGACGAGAAGAACAUCAUUUUGUGCAGUGUUCGGCUUAUCUGGUACUGGAAUUUCAGGCGGGAAUCCCUGGCUUCAAAGUAUGGAUGGAUUAAAGACAGAGGAGUGAGUCUGCUGGGAAGGCAGGCAGUGAUUCUGACUGAGCACCUUUCCUCCUGAACACACUGCUCAGACUCGGCCUUACCAUGUCCUGGUUGUUGGCCAUGUGGAUUAGCCUCGGCUUCCUGCUGUUGUGCCAGGCCUCACUCUACCAGACCAUCCAGCAGCACCAUGUGGCCCGGCCCGGUCACACCGACAUUCUCACCCUGGAGGGAGGUACGUGUGAGGUGAUUGCCGCCCACCGAUGCUGUAACAAGAAUCGCAUUGAGGAGCGUUCUCAGACAGUCAAGUGCUCCUGUUUACCGGGGAAAGUGGCCGGGACGACACGCAACAAACCAUCUUGUGUGGAUGCGUCCAUUGUAAUUGGGAAAUGGUGGUGUGAGAUGGAACCAUGUCUGGAGGGAGAAGAGUGUAAGACUCUGCCUGACAACUCUGGAUGGAUGUGCUCCUCUGGGAACAAAAUCAAGACCACAAGAGUGAGACCUCACACACAUUCACACGCACACUUAAGCACAAAUGUUUGUACAUGCAUUCACAGACCUACACUCGCAAUGCACAGACGCACACUCACAUGUACAAGACACGUAUAUGCCUUUUCUGUAUGUACUGUAAAUGCACAUUUAACACAAGCAUUCACAUACCUGCACACACAUCCACACAUGCACACGGGCACACACCAUCUUCAAACACAAUAUGCCCAAAUGCCAGACAGAUUUCACUUUACUAUUCAACCUUUCUCCCUGGACUGAAAAAUCAAGAAGCUGUGUUUGGAUACUUUGAUUAAACGCUUUAAGCUUCUCUGCCAACUACCUGCCUCAUUUUUAAUUAAUCUUCUGUCAUUUAACAAUCAAACAUGCAAAGUCUCAAACCUGUGGGUAAAAAAGGGUGUGCACUGCACAAAUCACACUGUAUAGAGAAUACUCAGAAAGCACAGCACAUCUGUGCCCUCUGUAUAACAAGGUGGAAUCAGUUCGGUGUAAGCAACCAAUCUAAAGGCCCAUAGUAGUAAAGAACAAACAUAAAGCAGGCAGUAAACAAACAGGUGGGCUCUGCCUCAGGCUACACUCCUCUCAGAGAUAAAGUUAACGGGCACUCUGCUUCUUCACUGCCUCUCGGCUCUGUAAACUGACUCCGAAUGUGGCAUGCAAAAAUAAUGAAGGGAGUUAAGCCUUCGAAGCCAGUCCAGUCCAGCACUCUGUGACAGGUUGAUCACCCGAUUUGUAUUCAUUUAAUUGACUCGCCCCCCCACCUGCUCGCGAUCAGCAAACCCUCGUCUACUCUUAGUGCUUGGUGACAAUGACUUUGAAUAGAAGCAGAGACUAAUGUGAUGGUAGGGAAAGAGGGAACAGCCAGUGAAGGUUAGACCACACGGGGCUUCCCAAGGUUGUUCUGCAGAUUUAUAUGCCAACAGAUAGACAUAAAGCUUUCACUGGGCCCCUUCACAGCCACCACAGUCCCAAAAGUUUCAGAAAGAAGUUGAUCGAACGGGGCCUUGCCAUCCUGUCAAGGUAAGGCAUAGUGCUUGGUUCACUUUAAAGAAUGCAUCUCUAAUUCUCAAUUAUGUCCUUUGCACAAUUUCAGAUAACUAAAUUAAAAUCAUGAUUGUCUUUAUAUAAGAUGGGACAUAUUAUAUUUUAUUUAAUAUCUUGAGAUACAUUAAUCAAGAUUGUGCACUUCUGCACACAAAUGGAGAAUGAGCAUUAAUACAUAUUUAUGAGUAAAAUGGCUUAGGUAAACUAUUAUCAGAGCCUUAAGAGAAGAGGGCCAAAAAGACAGGCCCGAAGCUGCUUUUCUACCCAAUACACAUAUGUCCUUUUUUCUUGACCCUCUCUUUGCAGAACACCCAGCCAUACUCCCCUUUUUAGCUUCCGGAAGCAAAAUGCAGAGGAUGCGUCAACAGAAAUUGAGCUGCAUUCUUGCUUCUGUAAAGAUUCAUCCCAGGACCUAACAGAGAG